GAUCCUGGCUCAGGAUGAACGCUGGCGGCGUGCUUAACACAUGCAAGUCGAACGAAGCACUUAAGACAGAUUCUUCGGAUGAAGUUUUUUGUGACUGAGUGGCGGACGGGUGAGUAACGCGUGGGUAACCUGCCUCAUACAGGGGGAUAACAGUUAGAAAUGACUGCUAAUACCGCAUAAGCGCACAGGGUCGCAUGACCUGGUGUGAAAAACUCCGGUGGUAUGAGAUGGACCCGCG
rnacentral:rRNA from 1 species